rnacentral:rRNA from 1 species
CCUACGGGAGGCAGCAGUGAGGAAUAUUGGUCCAUGGCCGGAAGUCUGAACCAACCAAGCCGCGUGAAGGACGCCGGUGCCAAGCAUUGUAAACUUCUUUUAUCAAGGGAUAAAAUCAGGCCCGAGCGCCUUUCCGCGGGUCCUUUAUGAAUAAGCAUCUGCUAACUCCGUGCCAGCAACCGCGGUUAUACUGAGGAUCCGAGCGUUAUCCGGAUUUAUUGGGUUUAAAGGGGGAGUAGGUGGACUGUUAAUUCAGGUGUUAAAGCCCGGGGCUUAACCCGCAAAGACCAAUUGAAACUGGCUGUCUUGAGGAGACGUGAGGUAUGCGGAAUGCGCAGUGUAGCGGUGAAAUGCUGAGAUAUUGCGAAGAACUCCGAUUGCGAAGGCAGCAUAC